AUCCAGCUGACGAGUCGCAAAUAGGACGAAUCGCGCGUUAUCCUGGAU
rnacentral:hammerhead_ribozyme from 1 species